rnacentral:rRNA from 1 species
UACGAAGGGGGCUAGCGUUGUUCGGAAUUACUGGGCGUAAAGCGUAUGUAGGCGGAUCGUUAAGUCGGGGGGUGAAAUCCCCGAGGCUCAACCUCGGAACUGCCUUCGAUACUGGCGAUCUUCGAGUCCGGGAGAGGUGAGUGGAACUCCGAGUGUAGAGGUGAAAUUCGUAGAUAUUCGGAAGAACACCGGUGGCGAAGGCGGCCUGCUGGGCAGUGGCUGACGCUGAGGCGCGACAGCGUGGGG